CGGAACGUACCAUUCAGUGGGGGAUAACGUAGCGAAAGUUACGCUAAUACCGCAUAUUCUGUGAGCAGGAAAGCAGGGGAUCGCAAGACCUUGCGCUGAUUGAGCGGCCGAUAUCAGAUUAGCUUGUUGGUGAGGUAAAAGCUUACCAAGGCGACGAUCUGUAGCGGGUCUGAGAGGAUGAUCCGCCACACUGGAACUGAGACACGGUCCACUCCUACGGGAGGCAGCAGUGGGGAAUUUUGGACAAUGGGGGCAACCCUGAUCCAGCCAUGCCGCGUGAGUGAAGAAGGCCUUCGGGUUGUAAAGCUCUUUCAGCCGGGAAGAAAACGCAUGGGUUAAUACCCUGUGUGGAUGACGGUACCGGAAUAAGAAGCACCGGCUAACUACGUGCCAGCAGCCGCGGUAAUACGUAGGGUGCGAGCGUUAAUCGGAAUUACUGGGCGUAAAGCGUGCGCAGGCGGUUUUGUAAGACAGGCGUGAAAUCCCCGGGCUUAACCUGGGAACUGCGUUUGUGACUGCAAGGCUAGAGUGCGGCAGAGGGGGGUGGAAUUCCACGUGUAGCAGUGAAAUGCGUAGAGAUGUGGAGGAACACCAAUGGCGAAGGCAGCCCCCUGGGUCGAUACUGACGCUCAUGCACGAAAGCGUGGGUAGCAAACAGGAUUAGAUACCCUGGUAGUCCACGCCCUAAACGAUGUCAACUAGGUGUUGGGAGGGUAAAACCUUUUAGUACCGGAGCUAACGCGUGAAGUUGACCGCCUGGGGAGUACGGCCGCAAGGUUAAAACUCAAAGGAAUUGACGGGGACCCGCACAAGCGGUGGAUGAUGUGGGUUAAUUCGAUGCAACGCGAAAAACCUUACCUACCCUUGACAUGCCAAGAACUUUCAGAGAUGGAUUGGUGCCCGAAAGGGAACUUGGACACAGGUGCUGCAUGGCUGUCGUCAGCUCGUGUCGUGAGAUGUUGGGUUAAGUCCCGCAACGAGCGCAACCCUUGUCGUUAAUUGCCAUCAUUUAGUUGGGCACUUUAACGAGACUGCCGGUGACAAACCGGAGGAAGGUGGGGAUGACGUCAAGUCCUCAUGGCCCUUAUGGGUAGGGCUUCACACGUCAUACAAUGGUCGGUACAAAGGGUCGCCAAGCCGCGAGGUGGAGCCAAUCCCAGAAAGCCGAUCGUAGUCCGGAUCGCAGUCUGCAACUCGACUGCGUGAAGUCGGAAUCGCUAGUAAUCGUGGAUCAGAAUGUCACGGUGAAUACGUUCCCGGGUCUUGUACACACCGCCCGUCACACCAUGGGAGCGGGUUCCGCCAGAAGUAGGUAGCCUAACCGCAAGGAGGGCGCUUACCACGGCGGGGUUCGUGACUGGGGUGAAGUCGUAACAAGGUA
rnacentral:rRNA from 1 species